UGGGGCAGUGUGAGAUGACAGGACCAGAGCACGUUCCUGGCUGCAGAGGCCACAAGUCACGCUGUCUCUGAGAGUGGAAUGUCACCAUCGCCCAGGUGGGGAUUUUUGUGUGUUUUGUUCACUGCUGUACACCCAGCCCCCAGCACGGCGCCUGUCCAGGACAAGUGCCCAGUAAACGCUUGGGAAGCAAUGCAAGCGUCCUCCCAGCAGCUCCUGCAAACAGACCCCCGACCCAAGCCCUUCCUUCUGCCUCCACUGCCACCAUUGCUGCUCAUCUCUGCUGGCACAGAAGUCUCUUCCCUGGUCUUCCAGAAAUCCCCUCUCCACACUCAGCCAGAGGGAGCUAUUAAAACUGCGGGCCAGCCCACAUCAGUCCACAGCAAAGUCCUCUCUAAGGGAUCCCUGUUGCUUGGAGAAUAAACCCUCGGAUUCCUUCCUUGGCUCUCGGGGCCUCCUCUCUGACCUCCCUCUGUCUCCUCUCCCAGCCUUCCUCCUCACUCACCCUCCAGCCACGCUGGCUUCCUCCUUGCUCCUGAAACAGCCUGAGGCCCACACUGCCCCGGGCCCUUUGCACUGGCUGUUUCCUCUGCCUGGAACACUUCUAGGCAUCCACAUGGCUCCCUCCCACAACUCCUUCAGGUGCCCACAUGGGAAGCCAUCCCUGACCACCCCCCACUUCCUUCUGAGCAUGGUAGGAUCUUUCUACCUAGCCAUGAGGGCAGGGAUUUUUGUCUGUUGUGUUCUCUGUGUGCCCCCAGUGCCAUCACAGUGCCUGGCAGAUGGUAAGUGCUCGACACACAUUGGCUGACUGCCUGAAUGAACAACUCUAUGAGCCGAUGGCAGAUAAGGACACUGAGGUCCUCUGGGGUAGGUGACCAGCCCAAGGCCACACAGCUGGUCUGAGAUUAGGCCAGGAGAGGAGCCCGGGUUGGUCACAUCCUGGAGUUGGCGUCUUGGAAACUGCAUCAGGAGAAUAACAAAGAUGAGACGCAGGCUCUAACAAGUGGAUACCAGUGACUCUCGCCCUGCCAGCCCCAGCCCUGCAGCCUUGGG
rnacentral:lncRNA from 1 species